rnacentral:rRNA from 1 species
UACAGAGGGUGCGAGCGUUAAUCGGAAUUACUGGGCGUAAAGGGCGCGUAGGCGGUUAAGUAAGUUAGAUGUGAAAGCCCUGGGCUCAACCUAGGAACGGCAUCUAAGACUGCAUAACUAGAGUGCUGUAGAGGGUAGUGGAAUUUCCGGUGUAGCGGUGAAAUGCGUAGAUAUCGGAAGGAACACCAGUGGCGAAGGCGGCUACCUGGACAGACACUGACGCUGAGGCGCGAGAGCGUGGGGAGCAAACAGG